rnacentral:lncRNA from 1 species
CUGAUAAGAAGCCAUGUGCCUAUUGAGUCCCUUCAGCUGCUGCUUCAACUCUUUAAGUUUAUGCCAGAUCUGUUGCAUUGAUGAUCCUUGCCCUAUUGGGUUCCAUACCUGUUGUAGAAUAUUACCAAAUUGAGGAUCCUCCAUAAUAGUGUAAUAAAGCCUAAAAGGUUUAGGAUGAAGAAGUCUUUGCCUUCCAAACUUAAUAAAGAUAGGAGUAUGAUCAGAGAUUGAAUGAUUCAAGAAAUCAGCUUCCACAUGACUGUAUUGCUGUAGCCAUUGAAAGUUCCCAAUUGCUCAAUCUAUCUUACUAUACACCUGUUUAUUUGUCCAAGAAUACCUCCAACCUUUUGAUCUGACAUGAGUAAGAUGAAGGUCAUAUAUCAGUUCUUUGAAAUCCUUUACCUCUGCAUCUGUUACAG